GAUUGCUUGCAGAUAAUGCUGUUCUUCUUUUUCAGGUCUACAAUAUCGAGCUCAACAGCUCUUUUAAGAGCCAACCCUCACAAACCUUGCUAAAAACUAAAAGAGCUAUAACUGAGUCUCAGCGAAUCUUGCCAUGAUCAGCCCUGCCCAGGUACAUUUGUUUCGAAUAUUUUUGAAUCAACAUUUUUUCAUCAAAUGCUCUGGUCUGAAUCUUAUUUUAAAUGAUUUUAAUUAUAUGUUUAAGGAGCAAUAUUAAUUGCACACAGAGUAAGUAGAGAUUGUUUUACAGAUAAGAAGAAGACCAAGGAAACUCUUUGUUCAGGAUGAGGAAUGAAGACGGCCAUCUUGUGCCCAAACGAAGACAGAAAGUCCUCUGGUAUGUGUGUAUUGAAGCAAUGCUGUGUUAUAUGUUACAGCACUUUAUGAUGAUCUCUCACAGGACUGUUCAUGUCAGCCGUGAUUAUUCUUUCUAAUUGUUUUUUUUUUUUUUGAUACAACUAUUACAAUCACAGCAUGUUAGCAAAGUGUGACUGGAACAUUUUUCAUCUUAAGUUUUUAAAAAACACCACCUGUUUUUCCUAAAUAAAAGCAUACAAGUUUUAUAAAAGUGGUUUACAUUAUUUCAUUGUUUUGUAAAUGUUGUGUUAUAAAUUGUGGAUUGAUAGUUGAUUGGUUUGAAGCCAGGCCUUACACUGCACAGACUAAAACACAUUUGUGAGAGAAGUCGUGAACUUUGGAGAAAGAUUCCAGAGGAAAAAGACACAUGCUAAGGGGUGUCUCAAGAGCAAGUCCUUUGCCUCUGUAACUUUUUCUUAAUUCUUGCAUAAUGAAAUUGUUUAUUGCAGUAUUUUAACAAUUUUACUUUGUACAGAUGAUCUCAUCGGCCAAAUGAGGGGUUUUGACCAAGUGAUGCUCUUGAAAGGAAUGAAAGAAGAGGAUGUGGUAAAUUGUCUUCAAAGAAAAAGCUUCUCAAAGGUCUUAAAACAGCUUGAAGAAUGGUCUGGGAUCUGUCUGAAAAUGGGAUGUUAGGACUGAGAGAUCCUCUGGCUGAGAAAAAGCUACAUCACAUCAGUGCUGGAUAUCAACCACACACUGUUUACAGACACGAGAGAAGAAGAAGAUCACGAUGGGGAAAUGAAACCAGUUUAGAUGUGAUGAUAAGGAAUCAUUAUUUUCUGAAACAGUAUCACAUGUCUUAUAUGUAUCACAUGAUCCAUUAUUAUUUUCCUUGAA
rnacentral:lncRNA from 1 species